GUCUGUGUGAUGAUCAUCCAGAUCGUGUGCUAGUGUAAUGGGGAUGUUAUGGUGAUUAUAUUUCUGUUGAAUUC